UGCAGGCUUGACCUAGGCAGGUUGCUACUCGUCGUUGGUUGUAAGCAGAGUCGUUGUGGUGGUCGGUGUCUCCUAGGCAGAUUGAGUUUGCUAGAUUAGUUUCAUGCCAUCGAAAACAACAAGCAGAUGGAGCGGGACGGGGUGAAGGUUCCCGUCCCAUGGCCUUCACGUGUUGUGGCUGGCGGCGCUCCACUUCCUUCCCCCCUGUACGGUGGUCUCAGAUGAUCCUUCAAAGGAGGCCACAGAGAGCAGCGAUUACUUCUUGGUAGUCUGCGGGGAGUUAUCGACAACAGCUGAGGCACUUGGAGGUAUGGUGCCAUCACUGCUCAGCUUCCCCCAUGUUUCCUUUCAGUUUAGAGCUUUCACUUCCUUUAGCCAGGUUUGCAAUUUCAGAUUGCCAGCUACCUUUUAUUGGUGUAUAUGCAAGGAAUAGAGGUUUCUUGAUCAAUCUGGUUAUAACUUUAUUCUCUUGUUUGAUUGACACAUUGUUUUAGUUAUCAGAAAGGUAAACUGGCCAUGUGAAAAUAAACUAGCUUCU